GCGUUGCAGCCCAGGCCGGAGGUCGGUGGCUGGGGAGGGGAGCGCCACCUCCGAGCUUCCGGGAGCGACCCGAAGAGCCUGGCGGCCGCCACACCAUUUCUCAGAACCGUUGGGGAAAACUCCAGCCGUUCUGUCGCGGGAGCAUCAAGCCCUUGGGGUUCUGUGAAAGUUAUCUGUACAGUGUAUCUAACGCAGGAGAAUCUUGCUGCUUUCCUGUGAUUUACCAACCAGAGAUUCUAAUGUGAUAUGUUUGGAGUGAAGUUAUCAAUCUGCAUUUUUAAUAGGCAUCCUCCAGGUUUCUACCGUCUGUGGAACAUGGAAUCAAACCAGAAUAUGUUGGCACAACAGGCCAGUAAAACCGGUUCUUCUGUAGAUCCAGAACCUGUCCAACCAGUCUGUAUCAAAGGCUAGCCCAACAUGCUGCAGCGGCUCAGCUCUGCUAAGCUUGUACUGGGUGCUGCUUUAGAAGCUCCAGACUUUGGACUUGGCAUUCUUCCAGUGAUGACAGUGGCUGCACACUCCAUGGAGCCAGUGGGAGCCCCACCCCUUCUGAGUUAGAGUGGGAACACCCGGCAUGCCGCUGCCCCUGCCCAAAUUGUGGCUGCAGACCCAGGCCUCCUGCUCUGUGGAGCAGGCAGAAAGAAGCCCUGCCCUCCUGGGUGGGGCCACAGCCCCCCAAACUGCAGUUGUAGAUUGGAGCCUCCCAGUGCUCUUGGGUGGGGGCCGGGAACAGGCAGGAUCUGACCUCCUGGGUGCAGCUGUAGUGGCCAGGUCCAAGGCUACAAACUUGGGGCUCCUGUUUCAUGGAGCAGGAACUGGGGACAAACAGGAGCCCUGCCUGCUUCCAAGUUGAUGGUGAGGGAGCUCCCACCCUCCCAGGUGCAGGACCCUGGUGUCCCUGCAGCCUGUAUCCUGGGCACCCCAGGAAAACCCCUUCCCUCUCCUCUCCCAGUGUCUGCUAGGAUCUCUGAGUGGGGCUGGGGCCAAGCCCUGGGGCCUGCAUGGCAGCAAGAGGUAAAGUCCUGGGUGGAAGGGGUGGCCCCAGUAAGGCCCCACCUUCAGGCAGGGAAGAGCCUGAAGGCUGUAGGCUGGGCUGCCAGUCCUGUGUAUGGGUGUGAGUAGUCGUGGGGCCUCUUUUGGGCCACUCAUGGCCCAUGGACCAAUAGAUACAAAAAACCCUGGGCUCAGCCAAAGCAGGGCAGAGGAUGGCCAGGGAAACAGAGGAGAGAAAGAGAGGAUGGGAUGACCAGUUGCAGAGAGGAGCUACCUUCUCUGCUGAGAGCUGCAGAGACAACUUGCUGGCAGAGAGGAGCCAUUCUCUCCAGGGCCUCCUCUCUGUGGAGAGCUGAAGAGCUGUAGACAUCAGGAUGACCAGUUGCAGAGAGGAGCUAUCCUCUCCAGAACCACCUAUCUGCUGAGGACUGAAUACCCCACGGAUGACCUGCCUACAGAGAGGAGCUACCCACUGCAGGUCUCCUCUGAGCUGUUGUGACACCCAGUAAAGCUUAUUUUUGUCUUGUUCACCCUUUACUUGUCUGCAUACCUCAUUCUUCCUGGACUCAGGACAAGAACUUGGGCAAAGGUGCUGUAGCCAUAGAGGUUUCUGGCCAGAAUAUCUACACUCCAAAGAUCCUGUAACAACAGGACGUGACUUCUAAUGUUUCUUCUGAUCCUUGUACAUCUUCUUUCUUCAGGAAGGAGGCACCUGUCCCCUUACUCUGACCUGAAGCCUUGUAAGAGUAUCAGCAUGACUCUUUCUCACUCAAGUUCCCACCAAUGUGGAAGAACCAGACAUCCUGAUUCUGAAAUAUUUUUGCCCACAUUAUUUCCCAGGACUGAGUUGAGUAGUUAAUAGGGCAGAUAUCUAGGCAUAGGAUCACACUGAUGUGGAAUAUUAUGCUACCUUUGACUUAUUCUAGUUAUUUAAGUACAUAGAAUUGGAUAAAUUAUAGUCCUUGCUUCAUAAAAUACUAUUGUCAUUGUUU